UGGUACGCGAGCUGGGUUUAAAACGUCGUGAGACAGUUUGGUCCCUAUCUUCCGUGGGCGCAGGAGACUUGAGAGGGGUUGCCCCUAGUACGAGAGGACCGGGGUGAACGAUCCGCUGGUGGGCCUGUUGUCGUGCCAACGGCAUAGCAGGGUAGCCACGAUCGGAAAGGAUAACCGCUGAAAGCAUCUAAGCGGGAAGCCUGCCUUAAGAUGAGGUCUCCCCUCUUCGGACUGAAGGCCCCACGUAGACUACGUGGUUGAUAGGCCGGAAGUGUAAGCGUAGCGAUACGUUCAGCUAACCGGUACUAAUAGGCCGUGAGUCUUUUCUA
rnacentral:rRNA from 1 species